AGGAGAAUAGUUAAAUAUAACAUUUACUUUGCAAAUAAAAAUUAUUGAAUAAUCAAUUUCUCUUA
rnacentral:tRNA from 2 species